rnacentral:ncRNA from 1 species
GAAAGCCGUGUGCAAUAAAAGUUGCAAGCACGGUUUGGGAAGAGAUAUUUUAAUUUUUAUUUUUUAAAUAAAGUUAAAAUCAUCCACUUUCAU